GGGAUUAGUGGCGAACGGGUGAGUAACACGUGAGUAACCUGCCCUUGACUCUGGGAUAAGCCUGGGAAACUGGGUCUAAUACUGGAUAUGACUGACUAUCGCAUGGUGGUUGGUGGAAAGCUUUUGUGGUUUGGAUGGACUCGCGGCCUAUCAGCUUGUUGGUGGGGUAAUGGCCUACCAAGGCGACGACGGGUAGCCGGCCUGAGAGGGUGGACGGGCACACUGGGACUGAGACACGGCCCAGACUCCUACGGGAGGCAGCAGUGGGGAAUAUUGCACAAUGGGCGCAAGCCUGAUGCAGCGACGCCGCGUGAGGGAUGAAGGCCUUCGGGUUGUAAACCUCUUUCAGUAGGGAAGAAGCGAAAGUGACGGUACCUGCAGAAGAAGCGCCGGCUAACUACGUGCCAGCAGCCGCGGUAAUACGUAGGGCGCAAGCGUUAUCCGGAAUUAUUGGGCGUAAAGAGCUCGUAGGCGGUUUGUCGCGUCUGCCGUGAAAGUCCGGGGCUUAACUCCGGAUCUGCGGUGGGUACGGGCAGACUUGAGUGAUGUAGGGGAGACUGGAAUUCCUGGUGUAGCGGUGAAAUGCGCAGAUAUCAGGAGGAACACCGAUGGCGAAGGCAGGUCUCUGGGCAUUAACUGACGCUGAGGAGCGAAAGCAUGGGGAGCGAACAGGAUUAGAUACCCUGGUAGUCCAUGCCGUAAACGUUGGGCACUAGGUGUGGGGGACAUUCCACGUUUUCCGCGCCGUAGCUAACGCAUUAAGUGCCCCGCCUGGGGAGUACGGCCGCAAGGCUAAAACUCAAAGGAAUUGACGGGGGCCCGCACAAGCGGCGGAGCAUGCGGAUUAAUUCGAUGCAACGCGAAGAACCUUACCAAGGCUUGACAUGAACCGGAACGGCGCAGAGAUGUGUYGGCCACUUGUGGCCGGUUUACAGGUGGUGCAUGGGUGUCGUCAGCUCGUGUCGUGAGAUGUUGGGUUAAGUYCCGCAACGAGCGCAACCCUUGUUCCAUGUUGCCAGCGGGUUAUGCCGGGGACUCAUGGGAGACUGCCGGGGUCAACUCGGAGGAAGGUGGGGACGACGUCAAAUCAUCAUGCCCCUUAUGUCUUGGGCUUCACGCAUGCUACAAUGGCCGGUACAAAGGGUUGCGAUGCUGUGAGGUGGAGCUAAUCCC
rnacentral:rRNA from 1 species